rnacentral:tRNA from 1 species
GCUGGCGUGGCCGAGUGAGUUGUCAUGGCGCACGCGCGUUUUGAAAACGUUUUUGCUCAUGGGCGUGGGUUCGAACCCCAUCGUCGGCA